GCAGUCGUAGCCGAGUGGUUAAGGCGAUGAACUAGAAAUCCGCUGGGGUCUCCCCACCUAGGUUCGAAUCCUGUACACUGCG
rfam:Ixodes scapularis strain Wikel colony gcontig_1107729129904, whole genome shotgun sequence.